rnacentral:lncRNA from 1 species
CUUGUAUAUUUUGUCUCAAAUUAAGUGUAAAUUCUGUACGAUGCAAUAAGGCAGCAAUAGAACCUUGUAACAUGGAUUUAUGCGCUAUACUUUGAGCAUAAGAUUGAACAAUGUGUGUAGAAUUUGAGAACCCGAUAUAUGAUUUAUAAACAUUUUGAGAGUUCAUUGUUCAGUUCUUAAUACUAGGAUGCAUUCAAAUUAUGUGUCCAUAUUAGCCAUAUGCUUGAAGGGUAGAUGAUUUUUGGUUUUAAAUUUUGAUUAUUCGGCCCUCACCACCAUUGGCUUUGCGGUACUAGUUCAUCGCUGUCCUCAACUGUGUAUUAAGUCCUAUGAGUUCAUGCAGAAGGCUUGUAUGCCUAAUACUACUGCAAAGGUUCAAUUUGGAAUUUGCCUACAAGAGCCACUGCAAAGCUUUAACCUGAAAAUUGAAAGCAUGAACCAUCCAUGUGCAUUAACAUGAGAUCUUUAGCAAAACAUUAAACCUGAUAGAUUAUCCAAUGCAGAAUUUCAAUGUCGAUUUUGGACUGUCACAAGUCCUAACAGAAUCCACAUUCGCAGAACAAUGAACUGAAACUGGAUAUAUGGAUGAUUAGAUGAUACAUCAACUUCAUUUAGGACAUGGAGAUCACAGACUAUUCAGUUGUGGCCCUGUGGAAAAAUCAGAGAUUAGCUAGAGUCCAGGAAGCAAUCAUUUAAAACAGGAAACUAAGCAAGAAUGUCAUAUGCGCCUCAUCAGUUCAAUUUGCAGGGUGACCCUAAAACAUCUUUAAGUGCAAAAUCCUUCAACAGAGUCAAUUCAACGAAUUACACAAUGAUGAAGGGCAGGAAGUAGUAAGACUUUGGCAUUUGCAUAACUCCCCAUGCAUUACUCUCCUUUAUCCAUAGGUUUACCUCAAAUAGCGAAUACCCAACUAAUGUAUUGAUCAUCCGGUACUCGCAAGGAACUACACAACUAAUAAAUGCAGAGAAUCGAACCAUACUGAAGACAAUUUAAUAAUUCAGCAACCAAAUGACAGCAAUCAUUUCCACAAACAAGCAAAUUUGAUGUACAAAUAGUAUACAGAUGGCAAAUGAUGAACCUGAAAGGGGAGGGUUUGGGGAGCUGGAGUGUGAGUGUGUGAGCGCAUGUGAGAUUAACAGCUUUUACGCAUCUUAAAAUUGCUGUUGGAAUAUUCAUAUGCUUGAUAUGAAAUCAAUCUCUAUCUUACGAUCAUGAUAUUUCCAAAACACAACUGAAACUUGACACAGAAGAUCAUUUAUUAACUUCAUUUGAGCACUCCAUUUUUUAUAAAAUGUUAAAGCUUAACAAGCUAGGGUAUCAAGGACAACAGUCUGCUUGUCAAGCAUGAUGUAGCACCAAAACCAUGGCGCCACCUGCUCCAUGUGUUGGCAUAGAUGGCCAUUGAAUUGCAUGCUACCCAUCAUAACUUUCCUCCUAUAAGCACCUCUGAAAUAUCACUUGGCACAGCCAAGGUGUACCCUACUUCCAAGUUCCAACUAGGCACCUAAGUUUUGGAUGUAAGAUAGCCCUUGUCCAUUACAAAGGACAAGGAACCAAGCUUUUUCCCAAUAAUCUACAAUAAGCCGUUUUGCAUUCAGAACAUUCCAAGACACUAAUGGCAACAAGCAUCAAGCUUUAGGUAAUUAAUACCUAAAAAUAGUCUACUUAACCUGCAUGAGCAUUCAAUCAGAACAAGCUAUGGAAAACUGUUCCAAUCUACCUCAACAAGGUUAAGAAAAUUGAAAAGAUUACAAUGUUGGGACAUCUGAAUGCAUAAGCCUGAAAAAAAUCAAUAGCCCAUGCCAGAAUCUCCGCCCCAUUUUCGUUAUCGGCAACGUACAGCACUGAAAACGCUAUCAAGAAAGCGAAUCAGAGACUCUAAUUUGUUGCCCCUUCAUACCCAAACAACAACCAUUUUCCAUGAAAAUAAAUACACAGAAAUUUGAAGAAAAAAAAAACAACUAUUGCAUAAAUCUUGGAAAGUUUAACUCAUUUACUCCGAGGAAACCCAAUUUUCUUAACCAAUGAUAGUUCUACCUAACAUCCAAACUCAAUUAUUGGAACAAAUUCAUAAAAAUUGUGAAAGAUCCAAAGAAAAGCAAUUGCAGAAAUCAUGUAAAAGUUCAUGACCGAUGAACAAAAAUACGUAUCUGAUCGUCGGAAAUUGCUUCCGAUGUGAGCGUGAAGAUGUGGAGAUGAACUUAGCGAAGGGUUUUAAAGUUGGGAAUCCUGAGCAAUUACGCUGCCGUGGCAAAUCUAGGCGCUCGGCUGGCCCCCAAAAGAAAACCCUACUGGGCCUGCUCAUGUAUUCUUGUAGGCAUUGUUGGCCCAAUUCAUCAAACGAGAAAGUGGAGAAGAUCUUACAAGAACUUCAACUCCAUGUAGCAU